rnacentral:lncRNA from 1 species
UAAAAUAGACUAAAGAAUUAAUCUAAGACCUGAAAUCAUUAAAAUUCUGAAUGAAAACCUAGGAAAACCUCUUCUGGACAUUGGCCCUGGCAAAUAAUUUAUGAGUGAGACCCCAAAAGCAAAUGCAACAAAAAACAAAAAAUAAAUGGAACUAAAGCUGUGCGGUUUAUAGAGUAAAGCAAAAGAAGAAAGUACUCACCCAUAGUUUGCAGGGUAGGGUAAGGGAACAAACUGUAGUUAUAAAUCACUUUUAUUCAUCAAUAACUUAUUGUUCAUAUGCUACAUUCCAGGCUGAGGAGAUUAAAAAUUACAUAAUCCCUGCCCUCAAUGAAAUUAGAAUUCUUGUGAAAAUCAGAAAUGGCACAUGCCAUAUGAAUUUUAAACUGCUUAAAAAUCUAAAACAGAUAUUUAUUUUUUCCAUCUUAAAUUGGCAACAGCUUACAUUCAUUUUAAAUUGCUCAAUCAUCAAUCUGAUUUCAUACAUA